rnacentral:rRNA from 1 species
AUUGAACGCUGGCGGCAGGCCUAACACAUGCAAGUCGAGCGGAUGAAGGGAGCUUGCUCCUGGAUUCAGCGGCGGACGGGUGAGUAAUGCCUAGGAAUCUGCCUGGUAGUGGGGGAUAACGUCCGGAAACGGGCGCUAAUACCGCAUACGUUCUGAGGGAGAAAGUGGGGGAUCUUCGGACCUCACGCUAUCAGAUGAGCCUAGGUCGGAUUAGCUAGUUGGUGGGGUAAAGGCCUACCAAGGCGACGAUCCGUAACUGGUCUGAGAGGAUGAUCAGUCACACUGGAACUGAGACACGGUCCAGACUCCUACGGGGGGCAGCAGUGGGGAAUAUUGGACAAAGGGCGAAGGCCUGAUCCAGCCAUGCCGCGUGUGUGAAGAAGGUCUUCGGAUUUUAAAGCACUUUAAGUUGGGAGGAAGGGCAGUAAGUUAAUACCUUGCUGUUUUGACGUUACCAACAGAAUAAGCACCGGCUAACUUCGUG